rnacentral:rRNA from 1 species
UACGAAGGGGGCUAGCGUUGCUCGGAAUCACUGGGCGUAAAGGGUGCGUAGGCGGGUCUUUAAGUCAGGGGUGAAAUCCUGGAGCUCAACUCCAGAACUGCCUUGGAUACUGAAGAUCUUGAGUUCGGGAGAGGUGAGUGGAACUGCGAGUGUAGAGGUGAAAUUCGUAGAUAUUCGCAAGAACACCAGUGGCGAAGGCGGCUCACUGGCCCGAUACUGACGCUGAGGCACGAAAGCGUGGGGAGCAAACAGG